CGUGAACUGCGAAUGGCUCAUUAAAUCAGUUAUCGUUUAUUUGAUAGUACCUUACUACUUGGAUAACCGUGGUAAUUCUAGAGCUAAUACAUGCUGAAAACCCCGACUUCGGAAGGGGUGUAUUUAUUAGAUAAAAAACCAAUGCCCUUCGGGGCUCCUUGGUGAUUCAUAAUAACUUCUCAGAUCGCAUGGCCUUGCGCCGGCGACGGUUCAUUCAAAUUUCUGCCCUAUCAACUUUCGAUGGUAAGGUAUUGGCUUACCAUGGUUUCAACGGGUAACGGGGAAUUAGGGUUCGAUUCCGGAGAGGGAGCCUGAGAAACGGCUACCACAUCCAAGGAAGGCAGCAGGCGCGCAAAUUACCCAAUCCCGACACGGGGAGGUAGUGACAAUAAAUACUGAUACAGGGCUCUUUUGGGUCUUGUAAUUGGAAUGAGUACAAUUUAAACCUCUUAACGAGGAACAAUUGGAGGGCAAGUCUGGUGCCAGCAGCCGCGGUAAUUCCAGCUCCAAUAGCGUAUAUUAAAGUUGUUGCAGUUAAAAAGCUCGUAGUUGAACCUUUGGCCUGGCUGGCAGGUCCGCCUCACCGCGUGCACUUGUCCGGCCGGGCCUUCUCUUCUGGAGAACCGCAUGCCCUUCACUGGGUGUGUUGGGGACCAGGACUUUUACUUUGAAAAAAUUAGAGUGUUCAAAGCAGGCCUUUGCUCGAAUACGUUAGCAUGGAAUAAUAGAAUAGGACGUGCGGUCCUAUUUUGUUGGUUUCUAGGACCGCCGUAAUGAUUAAUAGGGACAGUCGGGGGCAUCAGUAUUCAAUUGUCAGAGGUGAAAUUCUUGGAUUUAUUGAAGACUAACUACUGCGAAAGCAUUUGCCAAGGAUGUUUUCAUUAAUCAGUGAACGAAAGUUAGGGGAUCGAAGACGAUCAGAUACCGUCGUAGUCUUAACCAUAAACUAUGCCGACUAGGGAUCGGGCGGUGUUAUUAUUUUGACUCGCUCGGCACCUUACGAGAAAUCAAA
rnacentral:rRNA from 1 species